GGUCUGGUAGUGUAAUGGCAACAUGUCCUGUUCAAAUCGGUCCACUGCGUGAUUUGUAUUGGGGAGAUCUUAGUUCGACUCGGGGCCAGGCCA